CCUACGGGUUGCAGCAGUGGGGAAUAUUGCACAAUGGGCGCAAGCCAGAUGCAGCCAUGCCGCGUGUAUGAAGAAGGCCUUCGGGUUGUAAAGUACUUUCAGCGGGGAGGAAGGCGAUAAGGUUAAUAACCUUGUCGGUUGACGUUACCCGCAGAAGAAGCACCGGCUAACUCCGUGCCAGCAGCCGCGGUAAUACGGAGGGUGCAAGCGUUAAUCGGAAUUACUGGGCGUAAAGCGCACGCAGGCGGUCUGUCAAGUCGGAUGUGAAAUCCCCGGGCUCAACCUGGGAACUGCAUUCGAAACUGGCAGGCUGGAGUCUUGUAGAGGGGGGUAGAAUUCCAGGU
rnacentral:rRNA from 1 species